GAUGAACGCUGGCGGUAUGCUUAACACAUGCAAGUCGAACGAACUCUUCGGAGUGAGUGGCGGACGGGUGAGUAACGCGUGAGAAUCUGGCUUCAGGUCGGGGACAACCACUGGAAACGGUGGCUAAUACCGGAUGUGCCGAAAGGUAAAAGGCUUGCCGCCUGAAGAUGAGCUCGCGUCUGAUUAGGGGGGCUAGUUGGGGGUGUAAGAGACCACCAAGGCGACAAAAGAUCAGUAGCUGGUCUGAGAGGAUGAUCAGCCACACUGGGACUGAGACACGGCCCAAAAAGACUCCUACGGGAGGCAGCAGUGGGGAAUUUUCCGCCCCCAAUGGGCGAAAGCCUGACGGAGCAAUACCGCGUGAGGGAGGAAGGCUCUUGGGUUGUAAACCUCUUUCCUCAGGGAAGAAAAAAAUGACGGUACCUGAGGAAUAAGCAUCGGCUAACUCCGUGCCAGCAGCCGCGGUAAUACGGAGGAUGCAAGCGUUAUCCGGAAUGAUUGGGCGUAAAGCGUCCGCAGGUGGCUAUGUAAAAAAGUCUGCUGUUAAAGAGUCUAGCUCAACUAGAUAAGAGCAGUGGAAACUACAUGGCUAGAGUGCGUUCGGGGGGGGGCAGAGGGAAUUCCUGGUGUAGCGGUGAAAUGCGUAGAGAUCAGGAAGAACACCCCCCGGUGGCGAAAGCGCUCUGCUAGGCCGCAACUGACACUGAGGGACGAAAGCUAGGGGAGCGAAUGGGAUUAGAUACCCCAGUAGUCCUAGCCGUAAACGAUGGAUACUAGGCGUGGCUUGUAUCGACCCGAGCCGUGCCGUAGCUAACGCGUUAAGUAUCCCGCCUGGGGAGUACGCACGCAAGUGUGAAACUCAAAGGAAUUGACGGGGGCCCGCACAAGCGGUGGAGUAUGUGGUUUAAUUCGAUGCAACGCGAAGAACCUUACCAAGACUUGACAUGUCGCGAAUCCCUGUGAAAGUAGGGAGUGCCUUAGGGAGCGCGAACACAGGUGGUGCAUGGCUGUCGUCAGCUCGUGUCGUGAGAUUUUUUUUGUUGGGUUAAGUCCCGCAACGAGCGCAACCCUCGUUUUUAGUUGCCAGCAUUAAAAAAGUUGGGCACUCUAGAGAGACUGCCCCCCGGUGACAAACCGGAGGAAGGUGGGGAUGACGUCAAGUCAGCAUGCCCCUUACGUCUUGGGCUACACACGUACUACAAUGCUACGGACAAAGGGCAGCUACACAGCGAUGUGGUGCAAAUCUCAUAAACCGUAGCUCAGUUCAGAUCGCAGGCUGCAACUCGCCUGCGUGAAGUCGGAAUCGCUAGUAAUUGCAGGUCAAAAAGCAUACUGCAGUGAAUUCGUUCCCGGGCCUUGUACACACCGCCCGUCACACCAUGGAAGCUGGUAGUGCCCGAAGUCAUUACUCCAACCUUUCGGGGAGGAGGAUGCCUAAGGCAGGACUGGUGACUGGGGUGAA
rnacentral:rRNA from 1 species